rnacentral:rRNA from 1 species
GGCUAAUCUGCCCUUAGGACGAGAACAACCCCGGGAAACUGGGGCUAAUUCUCGAUAGGUGAAGAACUCUGGAAUGAGUCUUCGCCAAAAGGACGCCAAGGUUAUGCUCUUUGGUGUCGCCCAAGGAUGAGGCCGCGACCGAUCAGGUUGUUGGUGAGGUAAUGGCUCACCAAGCCUUUUACCGGUGCGGGCCGUGAGAGCGGGAGCCCGGAGAUGGGCACUGAGACAAGGGCCCAGGCCCUACGGGGCGCAGCAGUCGCGAAAACUUUGCAAUACACGAAAGUGUGACAGGGCUAUCCCGAGUGCCAUCCGCUGAGGAAGGCUUUUACCCAGUCUAGAACGCUGGGGGAAUAAGGAGAGGGCAAGUCUGGUGUCAGCCGCCGCGGUAAUACCAGCUCUUCGAGUGGUGUGGAUGUUUAUUGGGCCUAAAGCAUCCGUAGCUGGCUAAGUUAGUCCCUUGUUAAAUCCACCGAAUUAAUCGUUGGAUCGCGGGGGAUACUGCUUGGCUAGGGGACGAGAGAGGCAGACGGUAUUUUCGGGGUAGGGGUGAAAUCCUAUAAUCCCGGGAAGACCACCAGUGGCGAANGCUGUCUGCUAGAACGCGCCCGACGGUGAGGGAUGAAAGCUGGGGGAGCGAACCGGAUUAGAUACCCGGGGUAGUCCCAGCUGUAAACGAUGCUCGCUAGGUGUUUGGACGGCCACGUGCCGUUCUAGUGCCGCAGGGAAGCUGUUAAGCCUGCCGAAUGGGGAGUACGAUCGCAAGAUUGAAACUUAA